UACGGAGGGAGCUAGCGUUGUUCGGAAUUACUGGGCGUAAAGCGCACGUAGGCGGCUUUGUAAGUUAGAGGUGAAAGCCCAGAGCUCAACUCUGGAACUGCCUUUAAGACUGCAUCGCUUGAAUCAUGGAGAGGUCAGUGGAAUUCCGAGUGUAGAGGUGAAAUUCGUAGAUAUUCGGAAGAACACCAGUGGCGAAGGCGACUGACUGGACAUGUAUUGACGCUGAGGUGCGAAAGCGUGGGGAGCAAACAGG
rnacentral:rRNA from 1 species